UCCCUGGAGGAUUAGUGGUUAGGCCACAGUGCUCUCACCAAUGAGGCUAGGGUUCGAUUCCUGGCCAGGAAA
rnacentral:tRNA from 1 species